AAUUUUGGUUUUUCCUCAAACAGGAGACCGUGGAUAUCCUUGCACCCCCUGGCUCAUGACUCCUUACCGUAAUCCCAGGCCAGGACCACAGACGGCAUUUAACUCCGCGCUUACUGCCACUAGGCAGCUGGUGGAGCGCACAAUUGGGGUCCUUAAAGGGCGGUUUCGUGUGCUCCACCGCACUGGUGGCGAUAUCAUGUAUUCGCCGGAGAUGGCAAGUAAACUAGUGGUUCUGUGCGCAAUACUACACAAUAUCGCGGUAAGGAGUAGCGUAGAGCUUCCUCAGACAGAGGAAUUGCCUGAUGAGGAGCCAGGGGUUGUUCGACACUUCGGUGGGGGGAGUGUUACACGGAGGGGGAGCCAAGUCAGGGCAAGCAUUGUUGCUGAAUAUUUCAGCUGAAUGAUCACACAAACUGUGGACGAGAACAACGGCAGACCUCUCAGCCCCCUUCCCCUUCCCAGUCCCCCUCCCCUUCUCACUCCCCCUCCCCUUCUCACUCCCCCUCCCCUUCUCACUUCCCCUUCUCACUCCCCCUCCCCUUCGCAGUCCUCCUCAGCUUCCCAGUCCCCCUCAGCUACCCAGUCCCCCUCAGCUUCCCAGUCCCCCUCAGCUUCCCAGUCCCCCUCAGCUUCCCAGGCCCACUCCACUUUCCACUCCCCUUCUCACACCACCUCUCUAUCUCUUUCUGUGACCCCUUCUCCUCCUUCCCAUACCCCUUCUCCUUCAACUUCAAACUCACCUUCUCAGCCCCCCUCACCCUCUAUUGGCUUAACUUUCUCUCCGCCCCCCUCGCCCUCUCAAUCAGACCCACCCUCUGAAAUUACAUCCCCAAUCCAGCCUCCUUCCCCCAUCCAGCCUCCUUCCCCCAUCCCUCCUCCUUCCCCCAUCCCUCCUCCUUCCCCAAUCCCUCCUCCUUCCCCAAUCCCUCCUCCUUCCCCCAUCCAGCCGCCUUCCCCACCCAGUGAGUGGGCAGAAGAAGCCCCUGCUGAAUUAACUGUCAACCAUCAUGUUGCAGAGGAAAAUGUUGCCGUUGGAGAUCCCACAUCUUUUGCGGACAUUAUUGGCAACAUGAGGAUACAUCUCCAGGCCUUGCUGGGUCUUGUUGACCAAAUGCAAACGUUGUUUUAAUUUUUGUUUAAAAAAAAAAAAUAUGUUU